rnacentral:misc_RNA from 1 species
UGGCAUCAUUAUCAGGUAUUUGAGCAUUCUCCAAACAUUUUGCAGCGUUGAGUAUUCAGAAUUUUUAUUAAACUUAGCCAUAUCGCUGUAUGUUUGAUAAUUGAUUGUGUUUCUUUCAUUCUAAGCUUACUUUUCAAAUUUCCAACUUCCUUUUUACUCAACUAAUCCUGAAAGUUAAGAUCAUUGCUUUUCAGAGGAUGAAGAAAGAAACUGCUGACUUUUCAACUGUCACUGAUAUCAAACAGUACCCAACACGAAUUCCAAUUCCUUAUCAAGUAACUCUUAGAACUAGUGCAAUUUCCCCAUAUAUAUUUGGAACAUAUCCAAAUAAUCCCCGAUUAGUUAAGU